rnacentral:rRNA from 1 species
UACAGAGGGCGCGAGCGUUGUCCGGAAUCACUGGGCGUAAAGGGCGCGUAGGUGGCCACUAUAAGGCCGCGGUGAAAGUUCGGGGCUCAACCCUGAAUCUGCCGCGGCGACUGUAGGGCUUGGGCAUCGUAGAGGCAGAUGGAAUUCCGGGUGUAGCGGUGGAAUGCGUAGAGAUCCGGAGGAACACCGGUGGCGAAGGCGGCUCCUGGACCGACACUGACGCUGAGGCGCGAAAGCUAGGGGAGCAAACGGG